CCUACGGGGAGCUGCAGUGAGGAAUAUUGGACAAUGGGCGCGAGCCUGAACCAGCCAAGUAGCGUGAAGGAUGACUGCCCUACGGGUUGUAAACUUCUUUUAUAAAGGACUAAAGUGAGGCACGUGUGCCUUUUUGUAUGUACUUUAUGAAUAAGGAUCGGCUAACUCCGUGCCAGCAGCCGCGGUAAUACGGAGGAUCCGAGCGUUAUCCGGAUUGAUUGGGGUGAAAGGGAGCGUAGAUGGGUUGUUAAGUCAGUUGUGAAAGUUUGCGGCUCAAACGUAAAAUUGCAAUUGAUACUGGCAGCCUUGAGUACAGUUGAGGUAGGCGGAAUUCGUGGUGUAGCGGUGAAAUGCUUAGAUAUCACGAAGAACUCCGAUUGCGAAGGCAGCUUACGAAACUGCAACUGACAUUGAUGCUCGAAAGUGUGGGUAUCAAACAGGAUUAGAUACCCGAGUAGUC
rnacentral:rRNA from 1 species